AUUAAUACCUCAUGGUAUAUAUCAUUCGCAUUGUUUGAUAUAAUUAAAGUUACCAACGGUAAAAGAGUGGGCAUGCGUCCUAUUAGCUAGAUGGUAAGGUAACGGCUUACCAUGGCAACGAUAGGUAGGGGUCCUGAGAGGGAGAUCCCCCACACUGGUACUGAGACACGGACCAGACUCCUACGGGAGGCAGCAGUGAGGAAUAUUGGACAAUGGGCGCAAGCCUGAUCCAGCCAUGCCGCGUGCAGGAAGAAGCAUCUAUGGUGUGUAAACUGCUUUUGUACGGGAAGAAACACUCCUUCGUGAAGGAGCUUGACGGUACCGUAAGAAUAAGGAUCGGCUAACUCCGUG
rnacentral:rRNA from 1 species